rnacentral:lncRNA from 1 species
UGAGACCUUAAAGUGGUCAUAUAUCCUUAUGGAUUGGGUCACUAUUUAUGGAGGCUGUUGGCAAUAGGUAUUCUCAAUAAAGGCACCAUGAUAUCUCAUAGGAUUGAGAUAGUGUGUCCUAUUAGGUGAUCCAAAGGACAUGUGAUCAUGAAAUCUAUGGCCACAGUAAUUCAUUUAGUGGAAUUUGACAUAUGUUCCUUGGAGCUAGAGUAUGUCAAUUGAUCACAUAAUAAGUGAGAUCUAUAACUCAAGGAUUAGAGAGAUAAUCUUGAAAGGUGAUAACACUACCUUGUUAGAUUACGGACACCAGUUCAUGCGGAGUCUGCAUGUAG